rnacentral:rRNA from 1 species
GAUGAACGCUGGCGGCGUGCCUAAUACAUGCAAGUCGAGCGAACGGACGAGAAGCUUGCUUCUCUGAUGUUAGCGGCGGACGGGUGAGUAACACGUGGAUAACCUACCUAUAAGACUGGGAUAACUUCGGGAAACCGGAUCUAAUACCGGAUGAUAUUUUGAACCGCAUGGUUCAAAAGUGAAAGACGGUCUUGCUGUCACUUAUAGAUGGAUCCGCGCUGCAUUAGCUAGUUGGUAAGGUAACGGCUUACCAAGGCAACGAUGCAUAGCCGACCUGAGAGGGUGAUCGGCCACACUGGAACUGAGACACGGUCCAGACUCCUACGGGAGGCAGCAGUAGGGAAUCUUCCGCAAUGGGCGAAAGCCUGACGGAGCAACGCCGCGUGAGUGAUGAAGGUCUUCGGAUCGUAAGACUCUGUUAUUAGGGAAGAACAUAUGUGUAAGUAACUGUGCACAUCUUGACGGUACCUAAUCAGAAAGCCACGGCUAACUACGUG